AGCAGUGUUUGGGAAGGAGUAAAUGAAGCAGUUGGAAGCAAAGAAGCUGCUGCUUUGGGAUCCGCAAAUCAGAGGAUCAGGAAAUGUGAAACAACUUUCCUGACAGCUUCAGGGAGUGACAUCCAGGCAGGAACUCGGCGGCUUGGCAGAGCUGGAGGAGGAUAGCAGCGCUCUUUUUCCAACCUGGAAACAGCCCAUUCAGUCAAUAACUCACCUCCAGUGCCUUUUCCUAAA
rnacentral:lncRNA from 1 species